rnacentral:rRNA from 1 species
UACGGAGGAUGCAAGCGUUGUCCGGAUUUAUUGGGCGUAAAGAGCUCGUAGGCGGCUUGUUGCGUCGACUGUGAAAACCCGGAGCUCAACUCCGGGCCUGCAGUCGAUACGGGCGGACUUGAGUGUUGCAGGGGAGACUGGAAUUCCUGGUGUAGCGGUGAAAUGCGCAGAUAUCAGGAGGAACACCGGUGGCGAAGGCGGGUCUCUGGGCAACUACUGACGCUGAGGAGCGAAAGCGUGGGGAGCGAACAGG